GUCUACGGCCAUGCCGCCCUGAGCAAGCCCAAUCCUGUCUGAUCUCAGAAGCUAAGCAGGGUCAAGCCUGUUAGUACAGUACUUGGAUGGGAGACCACCUAGGAAGACCAGGUGCUGUAGGUG
rnacentral:rRNA from 1 species